CCGAGUAUGCCCUUCUGGGCGCGACCUCCAACCCACUGUAUACUGCUUUUUGUUGCUUUGGCGGGCCCGCGCAGCUACUGGCUUCGGCUGGUAAGUGCCCGCCAGAGGAAACUAAACCCUAAUAAUUUUGUUUUGUCUGAAAAAAACUAAAUAUUUA
rnacentral:misc_RNA from 1 species